rnacentral:rRNA from 1 species
AACGAACGCUGGCGGCAGGCCUAACACAUGCAAGUCGAGCGCCCAGCAAUGGGAGCGGCGGACGGGUGAGUAACGCGUGGGAAUUUUUCCUGGAGUACGGAACAACCGAGGGAAACUUCGGCUAAUACCGUAUGAUAUCGAGAGAUCAAAGAUUUAUCGCUCUGGGGUGAGCCCGCGUCAGAUUAGGUAGUUGGUGGGGUAACGGCCUACCAAGCCUGCGAUCUGUAGCUGGUCUGAGAGGACGAUCAGCCACACUGGGACUGAGACACGGCCCAGACUCCUACGGGAGGCAGCAGUGGGGAAUCUUGCGCAAUGGGCGAAAGCCUGACGCAGCCAUGCCGCGUGAGUGAAGAAGGUCUUAGGAUUGUAAAGCUCUUUCGCUCGUGACGAUGAUGACGGUAACGAGAGAAGAAGCCCCGGCUAACUUCGUGCCAGCCGCCGCCGUAAAAC